rnacentral:tRNA from 1 species
GGGGGUAUAGCUCAAUGGUAGAGCACUUGCCUCACAUGCACAAGACCUUAGGUUUUAUCCCUAACACUGCAA